rnacentral:rRNA from 1 species
AGUGAACGCUGGCGGUAGGCCUAACACAUGCAAGUCGAACGGCAGCACAGUAAGAGCUUGCUCUUACGGGUGGCGAGUGGCGGACGGGUGAGGAAUACAUCGGAAUCUACUUUUUCGUGGGGGAUAACGUAGGGAAACUUACGCUAAUACCGCAUACGACCUACGGGUGAAAGCAGGGGAUCUUCGGACCUUGCGCGAUUGAAUUAGCCGAUGUCGGAUUAGCUAGUUGGCGGGGUAAAGGCCCACCAAGGCGACGAUCCGUAGCUGGUCUGAGAGGAUGAUCAGCCACACUGGAACGGAGACACGGUCCAGACUCCUACGGGAGGCAGCAGUGGGGAAUAUUGGAAAAUGGGCGCAAGCAUGAUCAAGCAAUACCGCGUGGGUGAAGAAGGCCUUCGGGUUGUAAAGCCCUUUUGUUGGGAAAGAAAAGCAGCAGGUUAAUACCCCGCUGUUCUGACGGUACCCAAAGAAUAAGCACCGGCUAACUUCGUG